GGGGAUAACUACUGGAAACGGUAGCUAAUACCGCAUAACGUCGCAAGACCAAAGAGGGGGACCUUCGGGCCUCUUGCCAUCGGAUGUGCCCAGAUGGGAUUAGCUUGUUGGUGGGGUAACGGCUCACCAAGGCGACGAUCCCUAGCUGGUCUGAGAGGAUGACCAGCCACACUGGAACUGAGACACGGUCCAGACUCCUACGGGAGGCAGCAGUGGGGAAUAUUGCACAAUGGGCGCAAGCCUGAUGCAGCCAUGCCGCGUGUAUGAAGAAGGCCUUCGGGUUGUAAAGUACUUUCAGCGGGGAGGAAGGGAGUAAAGUUAAUACCUUUGCUCAUUGACGUUACCCGCAGAAGAAGCACCGGCUAACUCCGUGCCAGCAGCCGCGGUAAUACGGAGGGUGCAAGCGUUAAUCGGAAUUACUGGGCGUAAAGCGCACGCAGGCGGUUUGUUAAGUCAGAUGUGAAAUCCCCGGGCUCAACCUGGGAACUGCAUCUGAUACUGGCAAGCUUGAGUCUCGUAGAGGGGGGUAGAAUUCCAGGUGUAGCGGUGAAAUGCGUAGAGAUCUGGAGGAACACCGGUGGCGAAGGCGGCCCCCUGGACGAAGACUGACGCUCAGGUGCGAAAGCGUGGGGAGCAAACAGGAUUAGAUACCCU
rnacentral:rRNA from 1 species